rnacentral:lncRNA from 1 species
AUGACCCUUCGAUCCAUCGGUCCAGUGGGCUGUGUAUAAAACCCCUCACAACUCUCUCUCUCUACGCAUCUAGUCUCCAUUGUAUACUCUCUUUUGUUUUCUGCUCUGAAGAAGAAAGAAGAGAUAAAUUAUUUAGAAAAGCUCCAUGCACUUGAAGGAGAUUGAGGUUUAUUGGGACUUGAUAUCUUGCUUUUUGAAGUAUGUUGUCAGACCAGAACCAUUGGUCUUACUUUUGCUAAUUGAGAUGCAAUGUCAUUUUAUUUGCUUUGAAGAGAUUAGAUCCAGAAAGCUUAUGCUAGCAAGUGGAUUAGACUACUUUCAUAUACGCUGGAGAUGUUGCAUAUGACUUGCUCAAAGAGUACCCUACUUGCAGAUGUUGCAUAUGACUUGCUCAAAGAGUACUCUGAACUGGCUAGAACAAAGUAUAUCAGAGCUCCAUUAUGGUGUAUUGCGAAAAAGUGGGAUACAUAUCCCAGUGCCCAACGAUACAACUUCUACCAAAGAUUUGUUUAUUUUCAUGUGCCUAUAGAUAAUAAAGGGGUAGACCAGACAAAUAAGAUUAAUGAUAUUGAAAACCAAGAGAUAUGUAUGUCCAAUCUUAUCACCCAAUGCACCAAGAGCUAUGUCUACCCAGGAUUUAUGUCAAAUUUUGGAAAGUUGUACUGCUACAUGUGCCCUAUAUCAAGCACCUCCAGGAAGACAAAGAGAAACACAAUAUAGCAAGAGAAACACAAUAUAGCUCUCAUGAUACUGAAGUUAUAUACGAGGAAGUUGAGAUAGAUUGAAGGUGCGCUCAUGGCAUUUUGUGAUCCGAUCAAGUCUAAAGUUGGCAUUUUGUGAUCCGAUCCACUCCAACUUUACAUAUUUUGGUUGACUAUGUUUUCUGUCAUCGUCUUUUGGUUGACUAUGUUAAAUAGUUGUUGGUUGACUUUGUUAAGUACAUUUAUCUCUCUUUGUGGAGGUUGACUUGUGUAAAAUACUACUUGUUUGUUGACUUUGAUUUUUUCCUUUCCAUUCCGGUGUUGUUUUACAUUUAUAAACUCAAAUGGUUGAUGAUGUUCUAGUGUUUUAGAUCACCCAGGUCAUGAGUAGG